rnacentral:rRNA from 1 species
UACGUAGGGUGCAAGCGUUAUCCGGAAUUAUUGGGGCGUAAAGAGCUCGUAGGCGGUUUGUCGCGUCUGCUGUGAAAACUGGAGGCUCAACCUCCAGCCUGCAGUGGGUACGGGCAGACUAGAGUGCGGUAGGGGAGAUUGGAAUUCCUGGUGUAGCGGUGGAAUGCGCAGAUAUCAGGAGGAACACCGAUGGCGAAGGCAGAUCUCUGGGCCGUAACUGACGCUGAGGAGCGAAAGCAUGGGGAGCGAACAGG